AACGAACGCUGGCGGCAGGCCUAACACAUGCAAGUCGAACGCCGUAGCAAUACGGAGUGGCAGACGGGUGAGUAACACGUGGGAACGUACCUUUCGGUUCGGAAUAACUCAGGGAAACUUGAGCUAAUACCGGAUACGUGCGAGAGCAGAAAGAUUUAUCGCCGAAAGAUCGGCCCGCGUCCGAUUAGCUUGUUGGUGAGGUAACGGCUCACCAAGGCGACGAUCGGUAGCUGGUCUGAGAGGAUGAUCAGCCACACUGGGACUGAGACACGGCCCAGACUCCUACGGGAGGCAGCAGUGGGGAAUAUUGGACAAUGGGCGCAAGCCUGAUCCAGCCAUGCCGCGUGAGUGAUGACGGCCUUAGGGUUGUAAAGCUCUUUCGCCAGGGACGAUAAUGACGGUACCUGGAUAAGAAGCCCGGCUAACUUCGUGCCAGCAGCCGCGGUAAAAAGUGUGUGUA
rnacentral:rRNA from 1 species